rnacentral:rRNA from 1 species
UACGGGGGGGGCAAGCGUUGUUCGGAAUUACUGGGCGUAAAGGGCUCGUAGGCGGCCAACUAAGUCAGACGUGAAAUCCCUCGGCUUAACCGGGGAACUGCGUCUGAUACUGGAUGGCUUGAGUUUGGGAGAGGGAUGCGGAAUUCCUGGUGUAGCGGUGAAAUGCGCAGAUAUCAGGAGGAACACCGGUGGCGAAGGCGGAUCUCUGGGCCGUAACUGACGCUGAGGAGCGAAAGCAUGGGGAGCGAACAGG